rnacentral:rRNA from 1 species
AGAGUUUGAUCAUGGCUCAGAAUGAACGCUGGCGGCGUGGAUUAGGCAUGCAAGUCGAACGCGAAAGUUUCCCUUCGGGGGAGCAAGUAGAGUGGCGAAAGGGUGAGUAAUGCUUGGACGACCUACCCUAGGGUCGGGGACAACAAUUCGAAAGGAUUGCUAAUACCCGAUAGUCCGGCCUGAUUACGGUCAGGUCGGUAAAGGUGAUUCCGCCCGUGGAGGGGUCCAAGUCCUAUCAGCUUGUUGGUGAGGUAAUGGCUCACCAAGGCGAUGACGGGUAGCCGGACUGAGAGGUUGGCCGGCCACAUGGGAACUGAGACACUGUCCUGACUCCUACGGGAGGCUGCAGUCGAGAAUCUUCUGCAAUGGGCGAAAGCCUGACAGAGCGACGCCGCGUGGAGGAUGAAGGCCCUCGGGUCGUAAACUCCUGUCACAUGUUAAGAAAAGUACAGGUCUACCUGUGCUCUGACAAAUGCAUGAGAGGAAGUCACGGCUAACUUCGUGCCAGCAGCCGCGGUAAGACGAAGGUGGCGAGCGUUAUUCGGAUUUACUGGGCAUAAAGCGCGCGUAGGCGGCUCGGUCAGUCGGAGGUGAAAGCCCACAGCUCAACUGUGGAACUGCCCUCGAUACUGCCGAGCUUGAGUGCAGGAGAGGUGACCGGAACUCCAGGUGUAGCGGUGAAAUGCGUAGAUAUCUGGAGGAACACCAGAGGCGAAGGCGGGUCACUGGACUGCAACUGACGCUGAGGUGCGAAAGCUAGGGGAGCGAACAGGAUUAGAUACCCUGGUAGUCCUAGCUGUAAACGAUGGGUACUGGGCAAUGGUCGUCCGAUGCGAUCGUUGUCGAAGCUAAUGUGCUAAGUACCCCGCCUGGGGAGUACGGCCGCAAGGCUGAAACUUAAAGGAAUUGACGG